rnacentral:tRNA from 1 species
GGGCCCAUAGCUCAGCUUGGUAGAGCGGCAGACUCUUAAUCUGAUGGUCGAGGGUUCAAAAGCACUUUCUUUGGGAUGCCU